rnacentral:rRNA from 1 species
AAUUGCAGAAUCCCGUGAACCAUCGAGUCUUUGAACGCACGUUGCGCCCGAAGCCAUCASGUUGAGGGCACGUCUUCCUGGGCGUCACGC